ACGCUGGCGGCGUGCCUAAUACAUGCAAGUCGAACGGGGAUGCGAGAUUUCGGUUUUGCAUCUUAGUGGCGCACGGGUGAGUAGCGCGUGGGUAAUCUGCCCCCCCGGUCAGGAAUAACCCGCCGAAAGGCGGGCUAAUACCCGAUAACACUGACGCUCCGCGGAGCGUCUUUCAAAGAAGGCCUCUGUUUACAAGCUUUCGCCGGAGGAUGAGCCCGCGUACCAUUAGCUAGUUGGCAGGGUAAUGGCCUACCAAGGCUACGAUGGUUAGCUGGUCUGAGAGGAUGGCCAGCCACACUGGAACUGAGACACGGUCCAGACUCCUACGGGAGGCAGCAGUGAGGAAUCUUGCGCAAUGGGGGAAACCCUGACGCAGCAACGCCGCGUGAGUGAGGAAGGCCUUCGGGUCGUAAAGCUCUGUCAGAUGGGAAGAAAUGGAUGGGGGCUAAUAUCGCCCAUCCUUGACGGUACCAUCAGAGGAAGCACCGGCUAACUCCGUG
rnacentral:rRNA from 1 species